rnacentral:tRNA from 1 species
GGUGGUUAAGCAUUUGGCUGCUAACCAAAAAGAUCGGCAGUUCGAAUCCGCCAGCCGCUC